rnacentral:lncRNA from 1 species
GCUGUUCCUGAGGAUUGCAAAUUUCCUUUCUGAAAAGUAGGAGUAGUGGAUAAAUUUGAGUCAAGUGAGGAAAAAUUGUUUCCCAAGGUAUAAGUAAGCUCCUUGAAGGUAAAGGCCAUGUCUGACAUGUCUUCUUAAUGUCCUAGUCUAGAGCUGUUCAGAGAAUUCCACUUCUAGUCCUCAUGAAUCUGGCAAUUGAGACCUUGGAGAAGCUUGGUAAAUGGCUCUGAGACUAAGGAGAAACUAUAUGCUCUGCAAUUCUGAAGCUGCUCUUGUCAGACGCCCAUAGGAAACUGUGUCAACAAUACCCUGGAGAUGUGCAAAGAAGCUGCUCUGAGAGGGGUCCCCAAAAGGCUUCCUAGAAGAUGAGACACUUGGGC